GACGAACCGUACGAACGUUAUUCGGAAUCACUGGGCUUAGAGGGUGCGUAGGCGGCGCGGAAAGUUUGGGUGUGAAAGCCCUCGGCUCAACCCGAGGAAUUGCGCCCAAUACUACCGUGCUUGAGUGAGAUAGAGGUGAGCGGAACUUAGGGUGGAGCGGUGAAAUGCGUUGAUAUCCUAAGGAACACCGGUGGCGAAAGCGGCUCACUGGAUCUUUUCUGACGCUGAGGCACGAAAGCUAGGGGAGCAAACGGGAUUAGAAACCCUGGUAGU
rnacentral:rRNA from 1 species